rnacentral:rRNA from 1 species
GUUGGUUAGGUUACGUCGUAACGAGCGCAACCCUUGUCCUUAGUUACCAGCACGUUAUGGUGGGCACUCUAAGGAGACUGCCGGUGACAAACCGGAGGAAGGUGGGGAUGACGUCAAGUCAUCAUGGCCCUUACGGCCUGGGCUACACACGUGCUACAAUGGUCGGUACAAAGGGUUGCCAAGCCGCGAGGUGGAGCUAAUCCCAUAAAACCGAUCGUAGUCCGGAUCGCAGUCUGCAACUCGACUGCGUGAAGUCGGAAUCGCUAGUAAUCGUGAAUCAGAAUGUCACGGUGAAUACGUUCCCGGGCCUU